AGAAAUUAGAGAUUUAACCGGAGAUUUGCAAUUGACUGAGUCUUGAUCCUGAUGAUGUUGUGGCACUUAAAUCAAGCAAAAAUCAGCCACAUUUCCACAAAUCAUGGCUGGUCACCCUUUGAUGAAUUUGCAAAAGAUGGACACUCCUAUUUUUAGUAAACUAGCUCCCUUGCCUCACCUAUAAACAAGACCCCAUUUCAUACUUUUUUAAUCAUCCCUCAUCCCUCAAUCAACCCUCAUUCAUUCA
rnacentral:lncRNA from 1 species